GCUUCAACUUUCAUACAAUAUUCUACUAGAAAGAAAGGCAAAAGUUAAGAAGCUGCCAUAGAAGAAUAAUGUGCGUCAGUGCAACACAGAGUGUUCUGUUUCAUACAAUUCAGAGUUCAAAGAACAGAAGAAGUUCAAAAAGAUCAAAUUUUCAAGUUCUGAGGCUUACAAGCAGGAGGAGAUGUGAAGAGAAGCUGGGGAAGGAUAUUGAGCUGAAGAAUCUGCAGCUAUAUCUGGAGAAUCAAACCAUAAUUGAAGAGAAUGAGAAACUAAGAGAGAAAGCCAAUAUCCUUCAUCAAGAGAAUUUGGCUUUAUUGACUGAAUUUCAGAAAAAAUUCCCACAUUUGGAACAGAGAAAGUGAUGGGAAUCAUCAAAAGAGUGCAUGGUUUUAUUUCUGUUCUGAGUGAUUUCUAGAUGUAUUGAACUCUUUAUUCAAUAUAUAUAUGCCAUUUAUCUAGAGUACUUGAUAUACCUUGAAGAAUACUUGAGUGUAGUUUACAUAGUAGUGAGGUUGAGAGUUGAAAAUCCUUUUUCAGGACCAGUCAUUGUUGAACUUUGUGAAGCUUAAGAAGCAAUCAGAUCAUACGAACACAAACUAUGGGACCAAA